AGGCUACAGACUUAGAAUUUCAGCUGCAGUGCAGUCAGGAGCGGGGAAAGGAAAACAGGGUAAAUGUCCAGAAGUCAGUAAUGCUGUGGUGCCAUCUCACCUGGCAUUUUUCUAACUGCACGUGGGGGUAGGUGUUUCUAUCUAGCUCUUCGCUGAAGACCAUUUUCUGCACUGUUAAAUAUUUGAGACAGUGAAUAUAAAAAAUCCCAGCUGCAGUGCAGCCAGAGGAGAGAAUUUGGAGCAGAUGAGAUUGGGGUUUGCAUGAAGAACGUCAAAGCGGAUGUAAAGAUUGAGUAGAAGAUCCAACCCUGCUGGAAGAGUAAUGCUCUGCCCAAUGAAAUCUGAGUGGGAGAGAGGUGUCAUUUUGGAGCAGAAUCUUUACAAGCCAUUGUGUGUUUCUGCCAAGCUGCCACGUUUCCAAUACCACAAGGCCAGCCAGCCUGCCAGAGCUCACCAUCCACUGCUGUGAAAACAAGAAACCCUCACUAUCUUCCGCGAUCUUUGAAAGAUCUAGCGGAGUAACACACAACACGAGUCACCCGACGUGCAGCAGCAGUGUGUGCAGCACACACAAAGGCCUGGCCAACUUUCCAGAGAGAAGGCAUCCAUACUGAACUUCGCAGAAACUUGUGGCAGAUACCAACACGACAGCAGGCUAAGGAACACCACACUGGAGGCUGCACUGCAGAAAUGGCAACCCAGAAGCCAGCACAGUAAGUGGAUUCAUGUGGCUGCCACCUCUCCAGCUGUCUCUCCAGCUCCCAUCUUAACUCAUCGAUGUCUUUCACGAAGGGCUGAGAAGAGGAAGAAACCACAGCUGAGAGGCAGCCCAGACUGGAACCGCCAACUCACCUUCCGGCCACCUUCUCCCUGCAGUGUGAACUCCAAGCACGUACCUCUGAGGUACCGACCUUAAGUACAGUAAAAAGAUGCCACAUAACCAUUCUUCCCCUGCUUUCCAUUUGUUGAGACAAGAUGGAUAAAGAGAAUUUAUUGGGGUGAUAUUGGUUAAUAAAAUUAUAUAGGUUUUAAAUAUACAGUUCUAUAAUACAUCAUCUGGAUAUUGUGUGAAAAAAGGAAAUUUUAACAUAAAUCCUAGCAAAA